UACGAAGGGGGCUAGCGUUGCUCGGAAUCACUGGGCGUAAAGGGUGCGUAGGCGGGGCUUUAAGUCAGGGGUGAAAUCCUGGAGCUCAACUCCAGAACUGCCUUUGAUACUGAGGAUCUUGAGUUCGGGAGAGGUGAGUGGAACUGCGAGUGUAGAGGUGAAAUUCGUAGAUAUUCGCAAGAACACCAGUGGCGAAGGCGGCUCACUGGCCCGAUACUGACGCUGGGGCACGAAAGCGUGGGGAGCAAACAGG
rnacentral:rRNA from 1 species